CGGGUCCAUCAUCCAUUCCCCCACCAUCCAUUUUAAGUGCAAGAUGGUGAAAUUUUCCAUUUUAAAUAUCAAACCUUGAACAUUUGAAUUCCAAAUAUACAAACUCAUGCUGCUACUAUAUGUAUGAUACUACAUAUCUAUGGAUAUAAUAUAUCUAUUUGACGACUAGCCUUAAUUGAAAGUUCUCUCUCGUGAUCGGGAGGAGUAAUUAACUAUAAGGGCUUGCGCUUAUAAGAAACAAAAACUCAAAUCAUAAAGUCCUCGCAAAAUGAGGUUGAAAUCUCUGGGUAGUGUCUUAUCUACAAACUCAUAUGCCUUCCAAAAAUUUACCUUAGAACUUAAUCCAUUAAAACUCCCCCGAAGAAAAGCUCAGCAGGUGGAGGCCGGGGCCAACUCUUCGGAGCCCACAAUUCUCUAGGUACGUAUUACAUUUUAUAGCAAAGCUAUGUAUGCACUUCAUCGGUUAGCAUUUAUGAAGAGUGGCGAAGCUUAAGGAUUUGAGUUAUUUAAAACAAUAAGCUAUAUUGGACUAUGUGAGUUUUAUUGGCACGGAACCUCACAAUGUUUGCAAAUUUUUUAGAGGUCUUACUCUGUGUUUAAAAAUUAAGAUCUUAUUUUUUCUUUCAAAGAUUUGUGUAAAAAUGGGUUGCCUAUGAAGUGUGUCGGAUUAUGAUAUUUUUUAUUGGAUUUCGGCAUUACCUAAAUAUACAUUUUCUUUUCUUUCCUGGUUUUUUUUUUCUUUGGGAUAAUGUUGUGCUGCUCGAUCUUGAAUGCUGCUUCAUUUGCUGGUGCUCAAGUUAAAAUGGCAAAUGUUCAAGCUGCUUCCUAGUGAUCAGAUAUACCAUAAUGCUGUACACUAUGGUGUUGACACUCAGCCAUCAAUAAAAGAGCUUUCUGACUUGUCUGAAGCCUGUAGUAAGCUGUGGGAACUUGAUUUAAACCGCUUGGUUCCAGGAAAGGAUUACGAAAUUGAUUGUGGUGAGGGGAAAAGAGCUCACCAAAAGGGAGAUAUGGCACCAGAAAGCUUGUUUAAGUGGUUGGGUGAUGAUGUGCUUAGGCGCUCUACUUAUGCUCGUUUCUGCUCCCUUUUAGAUAACUACUUUCCUGAAGAAAGUAUUACAGAAGAUGUAACUCCUGAAGAGAUACAAGAGCAGACUGAAUUUAUUGAGGAGAUAUUCAGGACACCUCCAAUUAAUUAUCUACAUAAAUAUCUUGUUGAGAAGGGCCUUGUAUCUGGUAAUUCUGAAGAGUUUAAGGAAAUGUUGAAUCAUCUAUGGUUUGAUCUUUAUUCAAGAGGAGGUGGAUAUGACUCCUCUUCUGCUUUUGAACAUGUUUUUGUUGGGGAAAUCAAGGGUCGUAAGGGAAAUGUCGUCUCAGGUUUUCACAACUGGAUUCAGUUUUAUCUGGAAGAAGCUAAAGGAAAUGUAGACUAUCAAGGCUAUAUUUUUCCCAGAAAGCAUGGAGAGCAUGUAAGUAUUUUUAAUUUCUUCAUGACAUUCUUAAUAAUUAACUUCAUUAUUUAAUAUUUUCUUUGUAUGCCUCAUAAGUACAAUAAGACAUCUGCCUUUGUUUAGAAUAAGAUUUGAUUUAUCAAACUGGCCAAUAUGACCUUGGUCUGACUAAAUGUUCUUUGGAAUUCCUAAAAAUAAGGACCAUAUCAUGAGGUAUAAAUGUGGAAAACUUAUAAUUAGUUGUUAAUGGCUAUAAGUAGGAGAUUCUUCUUACCUUGUCCUAUAACCAUUGUUUGUUUUCUUCCAAUAUUUAAUUAUUUAAACAUAAAAACAAAAUCGAUGUUGGUUUUAUUCUGUUAUAUAAAGCACUCUUGCCAAUAGUUACAUGAAGAAGUUGCCUUCCUAACAUGGAAUGGGGAAAAAAUUAAAUCAAUAUAUCAUGAUGGAUUUCAUGUUUGCAUGGAUCUAGUUGCUCUUUGAUUAGCUCUGAGAUUAGAGCUACAUCUAUUAUCUCUGGACUGCAAUAAUAUCAGUGCAGAUCUAAUUGCAGUUAGGUCUAUCCUGAUAGAAAAUUCAAAAGGAUAUCCUAACAUUUUUUACUUAUUUAAAAUAUAAAAACUAAAUUUAUUAUUUCCUAUCCACAACAUUAAAUCAAUUGCCCGCACUUAAUACCCCAUUCAUCGAAUAUUUUCAUUUCUCUUUGACACUGAAGCUAUUUUCUCUCUCGAUGAGUGAUAAACACCAUCAACGCCAGACUCUCGACAUCCUAAUAUUAAUUAUUUUAAGCACAGAUUCUAGUUAAAUGACCUAUUAUUUUUAAAUUAUUUUUAAAAUUAUACUUAUUCAAUUUUUAUAUGCUAUUUUUAAAAAAUAAAAUUAAUAAUACCGUGUCAAACCCGUGUUCGUGUCAUAUAUUUUCAAUAAUUGGCAUGUCCCGUGUCCGUGUCAUAUUCUAUCCGUAUCAUCAUGUCUUUGUUUGUGCAUCAUAGCAUGGGAACAGCCUCAUAGCAAAGAGGUUUUCAUGGAAAAAAUCGGCCAACUUCGAUCAUCCAUCCAAUACUUGAAGCAAUAAUGCAUCACAAUCAGGCCAUCUUAUGUUUUAGUCGAUAUAAUUUUGAACAUUUUCUAGAAUUGUCCUAGGUAUUCAUUCUAAUAACAUAAAGAGAAAUAUUGGUGGAAGUGGUCAUGUUUUGGAAUCGAUACUUAUAAAUAACCAAAAUCAUAUAUGAUAACCUGUGGCACCCCAAUGUAAGAUUUGGUCUACUUGCCCGCCUAAAUUAUUCAAUACUUGCUUAUAGUUCGAAACAUGUAUUUCUGUUGGAAUUUUGUUUUUAACAUCUAUUUUUUAUUCGCUUUAUAAAGAGUGGUGAAGUAAGAGUGAGAAUCAAGCUUUGCAAUAAUAACACUACCAAUAAAAAAAUUUGCACCUGAUAUUGUUGUCCUUACUUGCAGAGGAUUUUUCAACUAAAUCCUUAAACUAUUUGUUAAUUAAUUAUGUGAAUCAAAUAUUAGUUAAAUAUAAUUUAAUUAAUUUGGACUAGUUCCUAAUUCCUGUUUUUUUUCAAGUUAACAUAUGCCUCUUAUAUAGCCUUCUCUUGUGUAGCCUUGUACGUGGCUUUGUUUCUUGUAUUUGUUUUUCCCUUAAGCAAGUGGGCCUCUUGUGGCUUUGGAAGCCCGAGCAAACUAGGAUGCGAGCCAAGCAAUCAAUGAAUGAGAGGAGAGGCAAUCCAUGGGAGGGAUUGCGACCUGGAGCAAGAGGAGGAGCUUGUGAACGGGGAGGCCGAGCGAGAGUAGUUAUUGGGCUUCUUGUGCGAUUCAAAGGUAAAUCAAAAGGAGAUCUUUCAUCGGGAGAGAGAUAAGUAUCUUUGCUCUUAAGCUCUUCCAUUUGGAGUUCCUUUGAAACCGACCAACGAGGAAAGGGCAUCGUUGGGUGCCCGUUUUUUAGAAGGAAUUGAGAAAGUUGAAAGAUAGGCAAAGAAGUAAUCUCAGCCAGACUCAGAAACUCAGUUGCUAACCAUUCAAUUCAAGUGGAAUGGUGCCCUGAAGUCUGUAUCCACCACUUUAGUUGGUGUGAGCCCGGAGUUCGAAGUUGCCCUCUACACUCUUUGCUUCUUUGUGGGUAAAG